CAUUUGUUCUCUAAAUAAGGACUUGUAUGAACGGCCACACGAGGGUUUUACUGUCUCUUACUUCCAAUCAGUGAAAUUGACCUCCCCGUGAAGAGGCGGGAAUGAAUUAACAAGACGAGAAGACCCUAUGGAGCUUUAACUAACUAGUCCAAAAGAAAUAAAUUUAACCACCAAGGGAUAACAACAUCCUUUAUGGACUAGCAGUUUUGGUUGGGGUGACCUCGGAGAACAAGAGAUCCUCCGAGCGAUUUUAAAGACUAGACUUACAAGUCAAAUCAAAUUAUCGCUUAUUGAUCCAAAAAACUUGAUCAACGGAACAAGUUACCCUAGGGAUAACAGCGCAAUCCUAUUCAAGAGUCCAUAUCGACAAUAGGGUUUACGACCUCGAUGUUGGAUCAGGACAUCCUGAUGGUGCAACCGCUAUCAAAGGUUCGUUUGUUCAACGAUUAAAGUCCU
rnacentral:rRNA from 1 species